rnacentral:rRNA from 1 species
GACGAACGCUGGCGGCGUGCUUAACACAUGCAAGUCGAACGGAAAGGCCCUGCUUUUGUGGGGUGCUCGAGUGGCGAACGGGUGAGUAGCACGUGAGUAACCUGCCAUUGACUUUGGGAUAACUUCAGGAAACUGGGGCUAAUACCGGAUAGGAGCUCCUGCUGCAUGGUGGGGGUUGGAAAGUUUCGGCGGUUGGGGAUGGACUCGCGGCUUAUCAGCUUGUUGGUGGGGUAGUGGCUUACCAAGGCUUUGACGGGUAGCCGGCCUGAGAGGGUGACCGGCCACAUUGGGACUGAGAUACGGCCCGGACUCCUACGGGAGGCAGCAGUGGGGAAUAUUGCACAAUGGGCGGAAGCCUGAUGCAGCAACGCCGCGUGCGGGAUGACGGCCUUCGGGUUGUAAACCGCUUUCGCCUGUGACGAAGCGUGAGUGACGGUAAUGGGUAAAGAAGCACCGGCUAACUACGUG